CAUGAUAGCCGUUGCAGUUACAGUGGUCUUGGUAGCAACCAGUAUUCUCCUGUCUCUUUUAGGAAACCUGUUGCAAAGCAAUGAUAUAGGUCAACAGAAAAAUGAAAAAUCACCAACCAUACCUCAACGAAUUUACUACAUUGGACUAUGGGCUUAUGGACUGAUGCUAACGCAACCCAUGAGCUGGUUUCCAAGAAGUAACACUGGCCGAGUAGUUGGAGGUGUGUGGCUGCUGUCCUCCCUUAUCAUCGCCACACUGUAUAAAAGCAACUUGAAGGCAAUGCUCAUUAUACCCCAUGUGUCUCUUCCUUUCACCAACCUGGAGGAAAUGGUAGAGCAACACGAGAUACCGUACAUACUGAUGGGUGGAAGCGUUGUUUACAACACAUUAAAGGUUUGUCUGUGGCCAUUAAUGGAGAGAGUG